rnacentral:snRNA from 1 species
GGAUGUGAGGGCGAUCUGGCUGUGACAUCUGUCACCCCACUAAUCGCCAGGGGCCAGGGUUGAUUCGGCUGAUCUGACUAGCCAGGCAGGUGUCCCCUUCCUCCCUCACUGCUCCUGUGCACCCCUCCUGAAGCUGCACGCUCGGUGGAAGAGGACGACCUUCCCUGAUAGAGGAAGACCAUUCCUCAGUGAACGGUAUACGCAUAGCUGCACUCCCCUGCUAGAAUCUCCAAACAAGCUCUUAAGAAUAAAACAAUAAAAAUCAAUUUAAAAUGAUAAAAAAAAAGUCACACAUGCAAUUUCGAAAAUGAAUUGCAAUUCAGCUUUAUUCU